rnacentral:misc_RNA from 1 species
AGAGAGAGAGAGAGAGAGAGAGUUAUACAAGCACACCCAGAAAUGCCUCUUACUUGGACCAUUGUUUCCACGGUAGUCCAACCAAAAUUUUGGUAUCUAUACUGAAAUUUCUGCCCACACUCCUCGUGAAUAUGAGUUUCUCCGCUUCUUCCAAAAGGGCGAGGAAGUCCUUUAUUGUAGACGGGCGACGAAAAUACCAAUACCAAGCAGAAACACUUUGCAUUUCAUUUUCUCUUAAAGUAACUUUACAAAAGAUGUCUACAUGAUCCUAUGUACGCUAGUCAUCACUCAUUACAUCAUGCCUACAAAAAUUCGAGCGCAUAACUGAAAUGCAAUACCUGGAACUCCAGUGGCCUGAAAGAAUAAUAAUGUCCGAACAUUUCAUUUUGUAUUAUAGCUAUGGUUCAUGCUCACUCACAUGGUGAUCUGAUACCGUUCCCUCAGAUGAUAUCGCCUCUACAUCAGGCUCUUCAGUCUGAGAAGAAUCCAACCGAGUCUUGCUAGAAUCACCACUAUCAGGUUGGCUUGGUUUGUUUUCUGCGAGCAUGACCUUUGAAUCAGGAGGCAAGCUCUGCAUAUCCUCCACAGCACCUUGUGAAUCCAAAACUUCUACAUGGUUGACAGAUUUUGGCAAGAGGUGCUUGCUCUCAUUAAAGCUAGUGCUUGUCAGGCCUGAACUAGAUGACAAGUGGGGGCCUGGGGCCACACAGGAAGCUACCAGUUGAAGAACUUCAGGAGACGGGGACAAGCCCAUGCUUGUUUUCUUUGGUAGAUUUAAAUAAGAAGAUGAUGUCAAACAGUGCAGCAUGUUUAUAUUAGGGAAACGAGAAUUUGGAUCAGAUUCAUCCCAUGCAAGUCCUGAAGUUCCAGGCGGUUGGAAAGUUUGGGCUGACUGAACAGAGGAUGAAGCAACACUGCUGCCCUGAAUGCUUCUUUUAAAAUUCUGCAUGCUUCCCGCAAUGUCUUGAGGGAACUGCCUGAAAAUAUCUGAUCUCCGCUUUUUUUUCUUCUUCAGAGUUCGUCUUGGAUCCUUCGGUUGGGAUGGAGGUGGACCCGGUAUAACAAAAGGAGGAAUUGUUGGCUUAGUUUCUCCAUAUAGUACACGAACUGAUUGAGCUAUAGCUGAUACAGUGGGUGGCAGGUCUGGUUCUGACGGUUUAGCAGGAGCACUUACAGCUUCUCUAAGCCAAUGGGGUAGCUUAUUCUUUGAAGAACUGCUUCCAACUAUUUCUUUCCCUUUCGAAUGCAAAAUAUUUAUCCCAUUAUCAUGGUCUUGGAAUAAAGCUGAACUACUGGAUUCUCCAUUUCCAACAUUAUUUUGGGAAUCAGGCAAUCUAUUUAGUGACCUAUCCAGAAGACUGGGCAACUUCCCAUACUUCAUGUUGCCAUGUUCCUCCCGCUGUAAAUCAAAGCUGCUAGAGCCAUUCAAACCCUGAGAGCCUAAGUUGCUUGCUCCAAAAGAAUUGAGCAGAAAUGGCAUUCCACUAGAAACACUUAAGGUAGAGGGUCCAGCAGAAGAAUCUCCAGCAAAAUUUGUGCGAAAUUUGUCAGGAUUCCAAGUUGGAAUAGGCCCGAAAUGCUCAUUCAGCCUAUGCUGAUCUGACAGCUCGAAAUGCGGCAUACUCGAAGACAGGUCACCAAAGCCCAGUUUCAUGUCUGUCAAAUGGGAGUGAAAUUUUGGUGGUGUAGCAAGUCUACUACCAUGCAAUGCCCGUGCCAUCAUUCCUUCCGGAAUACUUGGGAACAAGGAUGAUCUGGAAGAUUUUGUAGGUUUAAUUGCCUUUGGCCCUGAAAAGGCUGGUGCAUCCAAGAUCUUCAGUUGCUCCUCUUCCCACCUAGCUGCCAAAUCUUGUCUAGUUUUAUACUUCGAAAAUUUUAACCUGGGGUCUCUAAGCAUCUCAUCCCAAUUACCCCUUCCAUGUCUACGAACACCAAUCCACAGGAUAUCAAGUUCAUCUUCAGACCAGCCAUCUAUUUUUGAUUUCUUUCUAUACAAGGUAGUUGAUCCAGACCCAGUUCUCAUCAUUAUAUUUUCAAGUACCUUCCUAUGGUUUUCAGGUAAUGGUGGAAAGGUAGAUGGUAUCUGACCCAAACCCAGUGUGGGAGGCACUUCCUUGUCUAGCUGAUUGUAUAUUGAUGCAUCCUGAGAGGGGAAUUUCAAAUUGGGCAACAAAGGCAUUGCUGAAAGAUCUCGUAUAGAGUCAUUUACAGCUUCAAGUCUGCCACCAAGUGAUAAGCUAGGUAAUAAGUCAGGGUGUGGAGUUGGCAUGCUUUUAGAAGGUAGUGAGAAUCUGGACAGCAACUUUUCAUCAAAAGGUAAAUUUGGGAUUGACAUUUUUUCCUGGAAAUCAGCAAAACUAGAACUGGAACUCUCCAAACAAUCAGAACUUCUCCCUUGUGGUACAGUUGGAGGACACGGACUAAAUGGAAGCCAACCAUCUGACAAACUACUUUUAAGGUGCUUUUGCAAGACUUCAGCUGAUGCAUUAAUCUCCUUCCACUUUAAAUCGGUCUCGAUUGAAGUUCUAGAGGAAUGUAGACUGAAAGGAAACUCUGGUCCAGUAGCUGGCUUGUUUUGUCUGCUACUGGAUCUUGAUGAAUUUCGAUGUGAUGAAUCUAACUGAUUAGCGUUGGGAGCACACAGACCCAGAACUGGUAAUAAGUUGUAGUUUGCAUGGCCUGUGCCCUGAUUUUGUUGACUUGCAAGGUUGAUGUCAGGAGAAGGGUGACCAUGAGAAUUAACAGAAUGGUCCAGAUGACUGCUCAUUUUAUGCUUUGAUAUCCGACCCAGCCUUAACGUUGAGUCAGCCUUGCUCUUUGGUGUAUCCAAUGACUGGGGGAAUUUAUUAUCCUCCAAGUCAAAUACUGAAGACUUUUCUCCGACUUGUUGAACUAAAUCCAUUGCUCGAUCCUUGUCUCUCUCAUUGGUGGGAGGAUGAUGAGGCUUAGGCAGUGAGUCGGGUACAGAAAGACCCUCAUUGAGGCAGUAUUCUUCAAUAGCAUUCCGCUGAGCAAGCCGUUCUUUCUGUCUAGCGCGAAGCCUAGCAUACUUCACUUUCAGUGCUCGUCCAGCUGGUGUAUAUUCCCGCUCUAGCUCUGGCUCUGGCUCUGGGACCCGUUCAUCUUCACCACCACUCUCACUCAAUGUUUCACUUGGAUGUGGAGCAUAUGCUUCCCUGUAAGAAACAGCCUUCCUCUGGCGCUUUCCUCGACCAAGUGCUGCUUCCUCCUCAUUUUGAUAUUUCAUCCAUCUUGAGCGCAGAAGCCUGUCCCAUUCAUUUUCUUCAGUACUAGUGACCACAUUAUCCUCCUUGUUGUCAGGAUUUUGUCCACAAAUAUCAUCAGCCACAACAGGAGGUGAUUCAGCCCCAACUUGCUCUUCUGCUGUUUCAUCAUUCCAUUCCACAGACUUUACCGAUCCAAGCAUGUCAUUCUCAAAGUCCAUUUCAGCAGCAUCAGCUAUCCCAGACUGAAGGUUUGACCGGUCAAGCAAUUUCACAAUUGCAUUUUCAUCCCAGACAAUCUUGUUGCUGCCAUCUGUACAUUUAUCCUUGUACACAUCCCCAAGACCACCACCCCUUUUCCUCUGCUUUUGCUCUAUAUCUAUUACUGCCUCAUCUCUGUUGCUAUUACUUUCACCAGUAUCUUUCACAUUAAUGCUAGAAGAAUCACUAAAAAGUUCCUCCGUUCCCCAUCGUAGAAUAUCUUCCACUUCCUUCUGAGAUCCAGACUUAUUCACAAAAAGCUGGUCAAGCAUCAGUUUCUUUUUGGCAAGCUGCAAGAUGCGCUCUUCAACACUGGCACGAACAACAAGUCGAUACACCAGAAGUCUAUUUGAUUGUCCAAUUCGAUGCGCCCUGUUCAUUGCUUGGAUAUCAGCAUGUGGGUUAAAAUCAGAAUCAUAAAUAAUGACAGUAUCAGCUGUUGCCAAAUUGAUUCCAAGGCCACACGAGCGUGUUGAUAACAAGAACACAAAUCGGCUUUUAUCUUGGUUGAAACGUGCAAUUGCUGCCUGACGAUCACUGACAGAUACAGAUCCGUCCACUCUGUCGUAUGUUUUAGGCCCAAACUCUAUAGUUAAAUAAUCUUCAAGGAUAUCCAGAAGUUUGGUCAUCUGCGAGAAAAUAAGAACUCUAUGACCUUCCUUAUAUAAUGCUUUUAGCAUGGAAUGUAGCAGAGUCAGUUUCGCUGAAGCUUUUAUUCGCAUUUCAUGAAGGAAUUCUACUGACCCAGAAUCAGGCUCAGUACCCGGUAUGAGGUAUGGAUGAUUGCAAAUCUUUCUCAACUGCAUUACAAUGUUCAGCAUUGAUUGCUGAGCAACGCCUUUUCCAAUAUUCCGCAAUACCUGAUAGUUCUUUGUUAGCAUUGCACGAUAGUAUUCAGCUUGGAUAGAAGUCAACUCAACAGGAACCAUUCGUUCUGUCUUGGGAGGGAUAUUUUGCAUGGCAUCCUUUUUAAGCCGUCGAAGCAUAUGUGGAGCAACAAGUUUUUUCAAUUCGUCCACUUUUUCAGCAGUUGUAAGAUCAUUAAAUUUCUCCUCAAAUGAAGAUAGAGAAGGGAACGAAGCUGGCUGUAAGAAAUUAAGUAAAUUGUACAUCUCACCAAUGUUAUUUUGAAGAGGGGUACCAGUCAAGAGAACACGAUGUUGAAAAGAAAAUGCAUUGAGCAAGCUGAACAGCUUACUUCCUGAAUUCUUUAGACGGUGACCCUCAUCAACCACAAGCACUUCCCAUGGAACUCCACGCAAAUAGGAGGAGUCGGCAAGAACCAUUUCAUAAGUAGUUAAAAGAACAUUAAAUUUGUAAGAAGCAGUUUUCUUAUUCAUCUCAUUUGGAUCACUAGCAUGCCAUUCAUAUUGGCGAAUUAUAGCCCUUGCUUUUGCACACCCAUGAUAUUCUACAACAUUUAAGUUAGGAGCCCAUAACGCAAACUCAGCAAGCCAGUUUGGCAUAGUGGAAAGUGGAACUAAGACCAAACAAGGCAAAGAAGCUUUAAACUCAAAAUACAGUGAUGAAAUAAAGGCACAAGCCGAUACUGUUUUCCCAAGCCCCAUCUCAUCAGCAAGGAUCACAUUUUUGAAUUUGUUCCAGCAUUUACGCAACCAAUUCAACGCUUCAAGCUGAUGAGGAAACAAGGUGCCUCCUUUUAGCUCCUUAGGUUGUUCCGUGAGAGUAACUAUCUCAUUUUGAUGACCAUCACCCCUCCACUUAUUCAGAUCAUUUGACGUUGCAUCUUUUUCCAGUGUUUUCUGCUCUAACUGAUUAAACACAUCAAUCAUAUGUGGAGAUUUUGACAGAACAGGUUCAUCCAAUCUUUCCCAAGUGCAUUCAUCAUAAGGAAGACCAGUCCAUUUCACAAAAGCUUCCUUUGUACCAUCUCUGGAAGCACGGAGAGCAAUUAUACGCUGAGGCUGCUUCCACUUUUCCUCACAUAUAUUUAUUACAGCUGUUCCAUACUUUGCCUUGUAAUUUUCUAGUUUUCUUUUUGCAAGAACUUUCAGUCGAGAUUCAGAAAUCCAACUAUUGUGUAUAUGAGACUUACCCACCCAUUUAACUAAGAAUUCAUAUGAUGUUGUCUCCCCAUUAGCGCAUGCUGGUUCCAUCUUGGCAGGCUCCUGAACUUUAUUUUCAUCAACACCACUCAUUUUCAUUUCCAUAUCUGCUUCUUCUCUGACUUUGGUUUCAGGAGAUAAAUGUGGUCCACAAUCUUUGGAAACUUCACUUGUAUCUUGACUUUUCAAAGAAACAUCAAUGUUUUCUGUCAGCACCUUUUCAUGUUGUUUUACAAAAUCUUCUACACUUUCUGCAGACUCAUCUUGAUCUUUAUCAUUUAGGCCUUUAGAACCUGAAUACUUGUCAUCUUUCCCAGCUAAAUCCUUAACAUUUCCUCCUUUACAAUCUUUACCAGCAGAUCUUUUAUAUACAUUUAUUUUGUCCACUCUAAUGUCAUUCUUCAUGCUUUCUCCUCUGUCACAACUUUGGUUGAAGCCUGGAGAGCCCCCUGCAAGAUUUUCAGCAACUAAUACAUCUGAAUCAAUAUCACAAAUAGAGUUUUCCUCUCUAUUUUGUGUUUCUGGAAUAAGCAAUUCCUCAGAGGGUAGGUCAUCUGUAGCAAUCAAAGAGGCAUUGCGUGAAGAACUAGAAUUAUCACCUUGAAUUCGACAUCCCAAAACCCGAUCAACCUGUUGAAGUUCAAGGAUAGUAUCUUCACAUAUUCGUGUUUCAUCCACACCACCCCCAGCUUUACCUGCCUCAUCUGAUGGGUGCACAAGUUCCUCAGGAAGCUUCUCAUUCUUUCCCUGGGCAUCUAAGCUCUUGGGUCCAACAUCAUUCUCUGAUAAAGAUGCAGAAACCCCAUAAGUACCAGUUUUCCUUUUCUGGUGCAAUUUACUACUUCCAGAGGAUGUAUUAUUGGCUUUUGAUCCCCAUUUCUUAGAAGUACGUUGUCCCUUGUCAAUCCUAUGCUUCUUUAUGCUGUUGCCAUUGCCUUCAUGUUUUCUUUUUCUAUCUUUCUCAGUGGCAGCACAAAUUGCAAGUACAAUUUUGUUUCUUGGAGACCCAUUAUUACAAGACAAGUCACGCUUUCUAUCAGAUGCUUCAUCAUUUGGCCCAGACUUUUUAAGUUUAGAAUGAGACAAUGUUUCCUCAGCAAUAGAAAUUGAAUUCUUGUCUGCAGGUGACGCAGGUGGCGACACAUCAGGUUUCUUUGCAUCAUCAGCAUUCACACAUGAUGAGGUACCAUCUAUAGAAACACCAAGGGAUGGAUCACUAGGCUUGGUGCUACUAGAUUCGUCCAAGGAAGAAUCUGGUUCCUUUUCACAGGAUUUAACUCCAAAAGUUAACACAGAUUUUCCUUUGCUGGAGGACCUUCGUUUGGAGAGAAUCGAGCUUCCAAAAAUCCGGGACACUUUGUCAGUGUCAGAUGACCUACCUCCAGUCUUAGAAUUUGUUGUAACAAUUUUUGUUCUUGCCCGCUUUGAAAUGGAAUCCAGUUGGGUAAUGGACUUGAGCGGAUCAUUCUUUUGACAGCACUGUGGGCAUUGCCACUUCCCCAUUGGAAUGCGCUUAAGAGGUGGAUCAAGGCACUGAAGAUGGUAGACACUAGGACAGCUAUCACAACACAACAAGUUGCCACCAAGAUCACAGAUCACACAUUCAUAGUAAUACCCAUCAUUUCCUUUCUUCUUGAAUGAAGAUAAAUCUGAACUUAGUUCACUCUUUGGCCUGCGUUUAGCAGCUGCAGUACUCCUGGGAGAUUCCAGGGCUGCUAACUUCUCUUCUUUACCAUUGGUAACGACUCGUCCAUACAAAAGCUUUUUUCGCUUGCGCUUCAAGACCCAGUUUCUGUUUAUCAUUUUAUUAGUAGUUGAACCACUAUCCUUCAUCUCUCAAUCCUCCGCAUUACAUUCGGAACAAUCUUUUGUUCAGAACCAAAAAUCAAUACAAAGGGUGGUGUAUUACCAGAUUUUAAGAGACUGAAAGAAAAAAACAGUGGGUAGAGAUAUACAGAGAAAUUAGGGCAUAGAAGCAGAAGAACGAUAUGAGAGAUACGAGGAAGAGAGAGAAAAGAGGGAAACACGAACACACGCCAACAAAUGAAAAUAAAUAGAAAGAGAGAGACAGAGAAUUGAGGCUACACAAGAGAGAGACAAUCAAUACUUUUAGAGGGAGGAAGAGAGCUUUUUUUAGAGAGAGAAGCAUACGAUACGGAUUCGCCGGGGCAAAGGACGGGGUUUACACUUCUGACAUGGCAGCGCAUGAGAGAGAAAGAAAGGCAGCUAGAGAAAACAACCCCUGUCAAAAGCACCUAACCACUGAUAUCAUGCCACGUGGAUGAUCCAGAGCUCACGUUGCCCAAAUUCUCCUUUGAGCUUUUCUUUUCUUUUUUCUUUUUUUCUUUUUUCUUUAUUUUCCCUUUCAUUUUCCAUCUUCCCAAUCUUGGAAAUAUCUUCUCAUAAAGAGAAAGGAAGAGAUACAACAAUGGCCGACUUGGGUUUUCGAUGAUUACCGUUUUUGGUAUCAUUUCUGCUUCUGUGCGGCUGUGUUUUGGUCGGUAGAAGUCUAUAGAUGCCAUAGUCUUCUUUCGCUCUAUCCUUUGAAUAAUAAUUAUCUAUUUC